rnacentral:rRNA from 1 species
AUCAGGGUUCGAUUCCGGAGAGGGAGCCUGAGAAACGGCUACCACAUCCAAGGAGGGCAGCAGGCGCGCAAAUUACCCACUCCCGGCACGGGGAGGUAGUGACGAUAAAUAACGAUACGGGACUCAUCCGAGGCCCCGUAAUUGGAAUGAGCAUACUCUAAAGCCUUGUGCGAGUAUCAAUUGGAGGGUAAGUCUGGUGCCAGCAGCCGCGGUAAUUCCAGCUCCAAUAGCGUAUAUUAAAGUUGUUGCGGUUAAAAAGCUCGUAGUCCGCAUUGUGUCUCGCCCCGUCGGUACACCGCCUGCCGGUGCUUAACUGGCGCGCGAGCGAGACGUCGUGCCGGUCGGUGCCGGUCGUCCGGCCAACGCGGCGAGCUACCCGCCGGCUCUAAAGAGCCGUGGUACGCGAGCCGCAGGUCGGUCGGCCGCCCUUCAAAUCCCGUCGCGGUGCUCUUAAACGAGUGUCGAGGCGGGCCGGCAAUAUUACUUUGAACAAAUUAGUGUGCUUAAAGCAGGCUCGAGUUCGCCUGGAUACAUGUGCAUGGAAUAAUGGAAUAGGACCUAGGUUCUAUUUCGUUCGGUUUUAGGACCGUAGGUAAUGAUCAACGGGAACGGGCGGGGGCAUUCGUAUUGCUACGUUAGAGGUGAAAUUCUUGGAUCGUAGCAAGACGGACGUAAGCGAUAGCAUUUGCCAAGUACGUUUCCGUCGAUCAAGAACGAAAGUUAGAGGUUCGAAGGCGAUCAGAUACCGCCCUAGUUCUAACCAUAAACGAUGCCUGCCAGCGAUCCGCCGAUGUUCCUAAGAUGACACGGCGGGCAGCUUCCGGGAAACCAGAGCUUUCGGGUUCCGGGGGAAGUAUGGUUGCAAAGCUGAAACUUAAAGGAAUUGACGGAAGGGCACCACCAGGAGUGGAGCCUGCGGCUUAAUUUGACUCAACACGGGAAAACUCACCAGGCCCGGACACCGCAAGGAUUGACAGAUUGAUAGCUCUUUCUUGAUUCGGUGGGUGGUGGUGCAUGGCCGUUCUUAGUUCGUGGAGUGAUUUGUCUGGUUAAUUCCGAUAACCGAGCGAGACUCUAGCCUACUAACUAGGCGGACCGGUAUCCACAAUCGUGCUACCGGCGAGCCAAUAUCUUCUUAGAGGGACAGGCGGCUCCUAGCCGCACGAGACUGAGCAAUAACAGGUCUGUGAUGCCCUUAGAUGUCCUGGGCAGCACGCGCGCUACACUGAAGGAAUCAGCGUGUCUUCCCUGUCCGAGAGGACCGGGUAACCCGCUGAACCUCCUUCGUGCUUGGGAUUGGGGCUUGCAAUUGUUCCCCAUGAACGAGGAAUUCCCAGUAAGCGCUAGUCAUAAGCUGGCGUUGAUUACGUCCCUGCCCUUGUACACACCG